GACAACCAGAAUGUGGAAUUUCUGGUGUAAUAUGAGACGGAUCCAAUGAGGAUGCCGCUUACAAUCCAGCAAGAAGGGAAACUGGUGGAAUUCUACUUUGAGACCAAAUCAAUCGUGCAAACCCAACGACAACAUCAAAGUCAUUUUGCAGUUAGAAAAGCUCCCGAAAGAAA